rnacentral:lncRNA from 1 species
ACUAUUUGUAGCGUACUUAGGAAGCUUCAGGCUCUGUCCUAAAUGCCUGGGAAUCAGGUGUGAAUGAGGACAGUGUUCCUGCCUUACGUCCUGGUUGGGCGAGAAAGCGCAUUUCAGUUGAGACUAGUCACAUUUCCAGUGCUGAGUGCUGAGAAGCAGGCCUUGGCCAGUGUGGCUGCAGGUGCCUGAGGAGUACAGAGUGGCAUAAGACGCAGCGGAAGAUACAGAAUCAGGUGGAGGAGGAACACCCUGACAUUCAUCUCCCGGGGAAUGGUCUCUCUACCCUGCAUCCACAUGGUGAAGCACUAUAGAAGAUUCUCCCCAUGGGUCAGAUUCUCUCCAGUGCCAGACUCCUCAAAGAAACGAUACCACCCAAAUCAUCUUGCAAACCACAUGGAAAAUUGGGCAAAGGAAACAUCCUAUUGACAGCCACAAGCUUUCAUAAUUGCAUCCCUGUGACAAUGAACACAUUUCUACCAGGUCAAGCUUGCCUACCUGAUCCUGUCUUCUCAAUAUCUUCUUUGAACAACUUCAUGUGGUUGAAUUCCUGGCAGUGCAAUCAUGCUAUUUAUCAAAAGAAACACUGGACAAUCACAGUGGACUUCAGCGCUGUCUCCUGA